CCUCCUCCCUAGAGACAUUGCAGGUAUGUUUGUCAUAUAACAUGUGCUUUAGUAGGUGGCAGAGAGGAGAGAGACAAUGUUCAGUGUUCUGACCUGUGAUCUUUGGAAUGAUUAGUAGCCUAACCUU